rnacentral:rRNA from 1 species
UACCGUGAGGGCGCAAGCGGUUAGUCCGGAAUUAUUGGGCGUUAAAGACGGCUCUGUUGAUGGACGGGUUUGUCGCGUCAUGCCGUGAAAGUCCGGGGCUCAAACUCCGGGAUCUGCGGUGGGUACGGGCAGACUAGAGGUGAUGUAGGGGAGACUGGAAAUUCCUGGUGUAGCGGUGAAAAUGCGCAGAUAUCAGGAGGAACACCGAUGGCGAAGGCAGGUCUCUGGGCACUUAACUGACGCUGAAGGACGAAAGCUGGAGAGCGAACAGG